rnacentral:tRNA from 1 species
GGCCCCUUAGCUCAGCUGGUUAGAGCACCCGACUCAUAAUCGGUAGGUCCGCAGUUCAAGUCUGCGAGGGGCCACCA